UGAGGAAUAUUGGUCAAUGGGCGCAAGCCUGAACCAGCCAUCCCGCGUGAAGGAAGAAGGCGCUAUGCGUCGUAAACUUCUUUUCCAGGGGGAGAAUUUUCCGGUCGUGACCGGAAUUGACGGUACUCUGGGAAUAAGCAUCGGCUAACUCCGUGCCAGCAGCCGCGGUAAUACGGAGGAUGCGAGCGUUAUCCGGAUUUAUUGGGUUUAAAGGGUGCGUAGGCGGAUCAAUAAGUCAGUGGUGAAAUUCUGCAGCUUAACUGUAGACUUGCCAUUGAUACUGUUGGUCUUGAGUAUGGUCAAGGUAGGCGGAAUGUGUAAUGUAGCGGUGAAAUGCUUAGAUAUUACACAGAACACCGAUUGCGAAGGCAGCUUGCUGGGCCAAUACUGACGCUGAUGCACGAAAGCGUGGGGAUCGAACA
rnacentral:rRNA from 1 species